rnacentral:rRNA from 1 species
GAUGAACGCUGGCGGCAUGCCUAAAACAUGCAAGUCGAGCGGUAAGGCCCCUUCGGGGGUACACGAGCGGCGGACGGGUGAGUAACGCGUGGGAAUCUACCCAUACUGAGGGAUAAGCAUUGGAAACGAUGUCUAAUACCGCAUAUGGUCUUCGGAUUAAAGCUUCGGCGGUUUGGGAAGAGCCCGCGUAAAGAUUAGCUAGUUGGUGAGGUAAAGGCUCACCAAGGCGACGAUCUUUAACUGGGUUUGAGAGGAUGAUCAGUCACACUGGAACUGAGACACGGUCCAGACUCCUACGGGAGGCAGCAGUUAGGAAUUUUCCACAAUGGGCGAAAGCCUGAUGGAGCAAUGCCGCGUGCAGGAUGAAGGCCCUAGGGUUGUAAACUGCUUUUAUACGUGAAGAAUAUGACGGUAACGUAUGAAU